UACGUAGGGGGCAAGCGUUGUCCGGAAUCAUUGGGCGUAAAGAGCGCGUAGGCGGCCCGAUAAGUCCGCUGUGAAAGUCAAGGGCUCAACCCUUGAAUGCCGGUGGAUACUGUCGGGCUAGAGUCCGGAAGAGGCGAGUGGAAUUCCUGGUGUAGCGGUGAAAUGCGCAGAUAUCAGGAGGAACACCAAUGGCGAAGGCAGCUCGCUGGGACGGUACUGACACUGAGGCACGAAAGCGUGGGGAGCAAACAGG
rnacentral:rRNA from 1 species